UACGUAGGCAGCAAGCGUUGUUCGGAAUUAUUGGGCGUAAAGGGCGCGUAGGCGGUGCGGUAAGUCACCUGUGAAAACUCCCGGCUCAACUGGGAGCCUGCAGGCGAAACUGCCGUGCUGGAGUGUGGGAGAGGUGCGUGGAAUUCCCGGUGUAGCGGUGAAAUGCGUAGAUAUCAGGAGGAACACCGGUGGUGUAGACGGCUUUCUGGACCAUAACUGACGCUGAAACACGAAAGCGUGGGUAGCAAACAGG
rnacentral:rRNA from 1 species